UUGGAGAAUUUGAUCCUGGCUCAGGACGAACGCUGGCGGCGUGCUUAACACAUGCAAGUCGAACGGGAUCCUCUUCAGCUUGCUGGGGGGGUGAGAGUGGCGAACGGGUGAGUAAUGCGUGACUAACCUGCCUCAUGGUCUGGAAUAGCUCCUGGAAACGGGUGGUAAUGCCGGAUGGUCCAACUUUCCGCAUGGUUUGUUGGGAAAGCUUUUGCGCCAUGGGAUGGGGUCGCGUCCUAUCAGCUUGUUGGUGGGGUGUUGGCCUACCAAGGCUUCGACGGGUAGCCGGCCUAAGAGGGCGACCGGCCACAUUGGGACUGAGAUACGGCCCAGACUCCUACGGGAGGCAGCAGUGGGGAAUAUUGCACAAUGGGGGGAACCCUGAUGCAGCGACGCCGCGUGCGGGAUGGAGGCCUUCGGGUCGUGAACCGCUUUUACAGGGGAGCAAGCUUUCGGGUGAGUUAACUUUGUGAAUAAGCACCGGCUAACUACGUGCCAGCAGCCGCGGUUAAUAA
rnacentral:rRNA from 1 species